rnacentral:rRNA from 1 species
ACGAACGCUGGCGGCGCGCCUAAUACAUGCAAGUCGAACGGCCAUCCUUCGGGAUGGCAGUGGCGGACGGGUGAGUAACACGUGGGUGACCUGCCCUGUAGUGGGGAAUAACUCUUGGAAACAGGAGCUAAUACCGCAUAUGCUCCAAGUUUCAUUAUUUGGAGUAAAGAUUAAUCGCUACAGGAGGGGCCUGCGGCGGAUUAGCUAGUCGGUGGGGUAAUGGCCUACCGAGGCAACGAUCCGUAGCUGGUCUGAGAGGACGACCAGCCACACUGGGACUGAGACACGGCCCAGACUCCUACGGGAGGCAGCAGUAAGGAUAUCCACAAUGGACGCAAGUCUGAUGGAGCGACGCCGCGUGAGCGAAGAAGCCCUU